rnacentral:rRNA from 1 species
AUUGAACGCUGGCGGCAUGCCUUACACAUGCAAGUCGAACGGUAACAGGUUAAGCUGACGAGUGGCGAACGGGUGAGUAAUGUAUUGGAACGUGCCCAGUCGUGGGGGAUAAGUGCUCGAAAGCGCCGAUAAUACCGCAUACGACCUGAGGGCGUAAGCGGGGGAUGGCAAGAGCUCGCGCGCUUGGAGCGGCCGGUAUCAGAUUAGGUAGUUGGUGUGGUAAGGGCUCACCAGGCCGACGAUCUGUUGCUGGUCUGAGAGGACGACCAGCCACACUGGAACUAGGAAAGGGCCCAGACUCCUACGGGAGGAGGAAGAGGGAAAUUUCGGACAAGGGGCGCAAGCCUGAUGCAGCCAUGCCGCGUGCGGGAAGAAGGCCUUCGGAUUGUAAACCGCUUUUGUCAGGAAAGAAAGGGUUCUGACUAAUACCUGGGACUCAUGACGGUACCUGUAGAAUAAGCACCGGCUAACUACGG